AUGGAGGAUCACUUCGGCCGGAAGAUAUCCAGGGAGGAGGAGGCGGUGGUGAAGCCGACGAGGAGCUUCCGGUACGAGGACUACAGCACCAGGAGGGUGUUCCUGCGCAGCUACCCCCUGCAGUGGGAAUCGCCGGCGCCCGGCGGCGGCGACGAGAAGCAGGGCGAGGCGGAGGACGACGAGGACCGGUACGACGGCGGCGGCCGCGACAGGCGGUGGAAGCGGCAGGUGGUGGUGGCGGUGGUGGAGUGGGGGGAGGACAAGCUGCUGCUGCUCCGCAGGGUCAAGAAGCGGCUGGCGCUCUACCUCAUCGGCUGCCACUACAGCCGCCCCGCGCUGCCGUACAAGUCCGGCGGCUCAUGCACCACCGCCAUGCUCAAGUCCAUGUGA
rnacentral:rRNA from 1 species